UGAAUGUGUUGUGGUGUGGAUAAAUGGAUAAAAAAAAAUCAUGAAGUUGUCGUAGUUGUGUUGAAGCCGUGUAGGGGGCUGUUUUGAGGCUAGUUGUGCGUUUGACGUAAAUUGUAUAUUUUAUGAAAAUCAUAUCGUUAUAUUGUGGAUUGUGAUACAAAACAUGACUUAAAAAUAAGGAAAGCAACGAGAGGGCUGCUCACAGUUUAGGGGACUGGUUUCGGCCAGCUUUGGGAAAAUUUUUGGAUUGUUGGAAAAAAAUUAUGUGAAUGGUUUAGAAGUCCUCUAAUGUUGUUAGUAUGGAUUUGGGUUAAUAAUCGAAUGUACGAACGAUAUUGUGGCUUGAAAGUAAGCCGUUGAAACGAAUAUUUGGAAAGUUGUUGAAAGAUGUAAAAGAGAGCUAUUAAUGUUGUUUUGCCUUUCGAAUUGAUUAUUGAUGUUGCUAGGUUGGUUAUUGUGGUUGUUGUUGAUUUUGAGCGAGAUAAAUUCUCGGGAUGGCCUAUUUAUAGGGGAAGUGCUGCCGAAUUUUCUGUAGAAUUUAAUGAUUAGUUGGAAAGAAUGGCUCAAGUGUCCUUAACUAAUGUUUGGUAUUCGUUGGCGUAUUUGUAGACCUUGGGGAGCCCGAGGCGUAGAUUGGAAAUUUACUUUAGAUUGGCUAUUUUGGAAGUGCGUAAGAGGUACAGACGCACAGCCUGGUGAUCCACCUGUUUAGGACACCCUUUCUGCUAUUCGGAGUGCUCCUCUCUUUCCGGAGCUUAUACUUUUGGUAUAUAUAUUUUUAUUAGUGCAUUUGUAUAUAUUCGUUCAUGGGUACGGCGGGGGCCCUGUCCCGUCAUAUGAUUCUGUCGGUCUGUUUAGAGGUCUGUGGACAUGUUUGUGGGUUAGGGUCUU